rnacentral:rRNA from 1 species
UACGGAGGGUGCAAGCGUUGUUCGGAAUUACUGGGCGUAAAGGGCGUGCAGGCGGGUUGGUAAGUCAGAUGUGAAAGCCCUGGGCUUAACCCAGGAAGUGCAUUUGAAACUGCCAUCCUAGAGUAUGGGAGAGGAGAGUGGAAUUCCCAAUGUAGAGGUGAAAUUCGUAGAUAUUGGGAGGAACACCCGUGGCGAAGGCGACUCUCUGGACCAAUACUGACGCUGAGACGCGAAAGCGUGGGGAGCAAACAGGAUUAGAUACCCCCGUA